rnacentral:misc_RNA from 1 species
ACAAACUUGGUCAUUUAGAGGAAGUAAAAGUCGUAACAAGGUUUCCGUAGGUGAACCUGCGGAAGGAUCAUUACCGAGCUGUCGGGGCGUUUCGCCCCCCACUCACCCCUGUCUACACACCCCGUGACAGCGGAUGCCUCGGCGUGAUGCGGGGGGUUCUAUAUCCCCCGCCCGCCGGCGCACCGUGACCCGAACACAGAACCCCUGAAGCAGGCCGUCUGAGUGGGAAUGAGAAUGUACAUAAAACUUUCAACAACGGAUCUCUUGGUUCCGGCAUCGAUGAAGAACGCAGC